rnacentral:tRNA from 1 species
AUUUUCUUAGUAUAAUGUACAAGUGGCUUCCAACCACUUAGUCCUGGAUAAACCCCGGGAGAAAAUA